ensembl:lncRNA
CGGCAAGCGUUUCUGUCCCUGCUCCGGUUUUGAAAUUGACCUUUGAAACUGCUUUUCUGUGUUUUGACGCUGAUAUCUACAAAAUGACUGUGAUUUUAUUCCAGUGCUAUCGUUUGUAAUUGAAACUUUUAAGAUGCGACUCUCAAAAAAUAUCUUCAUUGCAGUCGGGUUUCACACCUCUCUUUGUCUCGUGGUAUUUUGUUGCUGGCUAGUUAGCGGAUAUUAAGCGUCUCCCGGUUUGAAAUUGAUUUUGAAAGUGAUUUACUAUGACAAGGCGUUAACUACAGCAGCCUUUUAUACCUCAACUCUUGAUUCAGCCAAGGUAAGUGCCCCCCCCUUAUAUUUUCUAUGUAUGUGUUCAGCUGAUAUUUAGAAAAAAAUAGGUGUGUUUAGCGCUGGAUGUCAUUUUAUUCCAGAGCUGUUGUUUGUAAUUAAAACUUUUAAGAUUAGAUGGUACAGUGUUUUUACUCCCUUCCAAACAGUAAAGUUCCUCUUUGUUUCUCAGUAGGAAAUUUAAACCAGACAGUACAAGGCUACAUUUCAGUGUUACACAAUCAGUUUGCUAAUUGUUCUGUGAGAUUUGUUUGCAAAGUUUAAGGUGUUAAGUAGGACUGUGAACAUCUGGGUCUGCUUGCUGCUGGCAUUCUGCCAGAGCCCCAGCAACAAGACCGCCUCCCAGCAACGAGAGUGCCUGUCAGCCUUGCAAGGUACCCAAUUUUCCAAUUACUCUAUAACAAAACUGUUGUGGGCAACUAGACUGUCUCCUAAGUUUGCAAGCCAAUCACUUUGCCAAAUGUUCUUGUAAGAUUUGUUUGAAAAGUUUGAGGUGGUAACUGUGAGCUGUGAACAUCUGGGUUUGCUUGCUGCUGGCAUUUGACCAGCGUCUCAGCAACAACACUGCCUCCCAGCUUUGCAAGGUAAUUACUUUCCCAAUUACUGUACACCAAAACGAAGUAACUGUCGUGGUCAACAAAUCUGCCUCCCAACUUUCAAGGUAAUCACUUUCUCAAUUACAAUAUACAAACUGUUAUGGAACUUUACUUAACAAAGCCUUAAGACCGGGUAGUGACACUAUCAAUAUGUCUAUUUAAAGAAAAGAGAGAUUUUUUUUUGUUCUUGUAGUCCUCUUGUCUGUCAAUGUAUCAGAGGGUUAAAAUAACAAAUUGCUUGAAAUGCCAAUAAUUAAUAUUCUGUUUUUAUGUUGACAUUCUACCAGAUGCCGAAAAAAAAUAAAAGAUCCCAGGCACAAAAGAAGCGCUGGAAACCGCUUGACCUGGUCGAUCCUGCAAUGCUCACUGGCCACAACCAAGAUGAGGCAGUCAGUAGUUUUCCAUCUGACCAGCAGACGGCACCAGCCGGGUUAUCUUUGGAAACACAGGAUAGACCCACCUCCUUAUGUUCCCCAGGUACCAAGACAGCACCAGCCAGCUUGUCCUUGGAAACGGAGAAUAGACCCACCUCCUUAUGUCCUCCAGGCAGCAAGAGUUCAGAAACUCGUCCACCAGCAAAACGAGUCUGGGCAACCGAUGAUUUCCACAUGGCAUCAAAUUCUCCACCUAAAAAGCCUUUCCACAACACAAAUGAACAACUACUGACAGAGGAGCUACAGAGCAACGCAGUUCAGCACUUCUGGUGUGUCAGUGCAACUCAUUGUCAAAGUGAUGAAAGGUACACAGAAUUCUCUCGAAAUCAUCAGUGCACAUGUAAUGCCCUCACAUUCCUGGCCUACCUUAAUGAGGAACACCAGUUCAACACAGCCCGACUUGAUAAGGUGCUUGAACAGGGAGAUGCACUCUACUGUUGGAUUAAAACAAAUCUUCAGCAGGAGAGGCGUUAUACACAAGAUCAUCUGACCAUGGAGGACCUGCCCAAAGAAGUUCAUGCUGACAUAAAUGUCUACAGUGUGAAAAUGGACAACAUAAGGUAUGGAUACCUGGAAGCAGCAGACAAAACUUACCAAAGAAAAGAGUGGUGGUUGCCUCUUGCUAGUCGCCUUGUAUGUCUGUCAACAGAUGUGAACUAUGCUUUGCUCAUGGUUUCACCUCAGUGCAUUGCAGUUUUCCGUGACAAAUCUGGGAGGUAUGGAUUAUUUGAUUCACAUUCAAGAAGUGUAGCAGGUUUACCCCAGCCAAAUGGAACAGCAGUCAUGCUCACUUUCACUCAUGUGAAUGACCUGAUCAACCACCUGCAUAACCUUUUUCAAAAUCAAGGCAGGUAUGCAAGAUAUGAGUUUGUGCCUGUUUCUUUCAAAAGAGUCAGCACUCACAACGAACAGCCUGCACAGUCAACUCGGGCAACAGCAGCAACAGCUACAUCAUCACCACAAAAUGAUGAACCACAAAUCACAAAUUCCACUGUGCAAGUGCCUCAACCAGAAUCGGCCCAAACCUACAUGACAAUGUUAGAAAAUACUUCAAACUCAUCACAAGACAAAAUGGCUUCAAAUCAAAUCUGUGAACAUCAACUUGAAACAUCUGUUGACCCAACAAGCAACAUCCAGAAAGAACAACAAGAAAUUGGCCUCAAUAAUGAAAGCGAUAAAGUAAAAGAUAAAACCCACCAAAAAGCAAGAAAUGUGAGCAGAUUAAAUAAAGGACGACGUGGGAAAGCUAUUCGUCAAGCUCAAAAAAGUCAGAGGGAGUAUGUAAAAGCUAAAGACAAAUCUUCAACUGAAGAAGUGGCAAAGAAGACUAACAAAAAAAGACAUGAAAGAGAACGAUAUGCCUGCUGUCGUGAAUUUCGAAUGAAAAGAUUACAGACUAUGAAAAUUCAAUAUGCUGAAAACUGUCAUUACCGUAAACAAAGACUAUUAUCAGCCAAAAAUUAUUAUGCAAAUCCUCAUAUUCAAGAAAAAGUAAAAGCCCACAAGGUGAAGAGAUACCAAAGUGAUCAUCAUUUUCAACGAAAAAUGAGAAACUACAUUAUCAGAAGAUAUACCACAGAUCCUGACUAUCAAACCAGACAGAAGCAAUAUGUGGUCCAGAGGUACAACACGGAUGCCAGCUUUCAAACCAGACAGAAGCAAUAUAUGGACCAGAAAUACAAAGAGGAUCAUGUCAGAGAAAAGAAGAAGGCAUACAUAAGAACAAAAUAUGCAUCGGAUCCAAACUACAGGCACAAACAAAAAAAAUCAAUUCAUGCCAGGUACCACAAUGACUCACAAUUCAGACUGCACCAUAUACAGCGCUGUGCAGAGUACCAGAGACACAAAAUGGCUACCACUGCAUCUUUCGCCAUUUAUAAAAAGUUGUGUGCGCAGAGAAUAAAGAAGAAAUACAGACGACUAGUAACACAAUUCCAGCAGGGUCCACAGUCUGAAGCACAGCCCCAGCUUGUAGUGAAUAGUGUGAUGCAAGCAGCCACAUUAGCUUUCCG